GAUGAACGCUAGCGGCAGGCUUAACACAUGCAAGUCGAGGGGCAGCAUAAUGGAUAGCAAUAUCUAUGGUGGCGACCGGCGCACGGGUGCGUAACGCGUAUGCAACCUACCUUUAACAGGGGGAUAACACUGAGAAAUUGGUACUAAUACCCCAUAAUAUCAUAGAAGGCAUCUUUUAUGGUUGAAAAUUCCGAUGGUUAGAGAUGGGCAUGCGUUGUAUUAGCUAGUUGGUGGGGUAACGGCUCACCAAGGCGACGAUACAUAGGGGGACUGAGAGGUUAACCCCCCANACUGGUACUGAGACACGGACCAGACUCCUACGGGAGGCAGCAGUGAGGAAUAUUGGUCAAUGGACGCAAGUCUGAACCAGCCAUGCCGCGUGCAGGAUGACGGCUCUAUGAGUUGUAAACUGCUUUUGUACUAGGGUAAACUCACCUACGUGUAGGUGACUGAAAGUAUAGUACGAAUAAGGAUCGGCUAACUCCGU
rnacentral:rRNA from 1 species